GAUAUAAUAUGGAUAUUCUACAGGUUUUACAAUCGUCUUUAAAUUUCAGUGUACAGAUGACUGAACCAAAAGACGGAGAAUGGGGAAGAAAUGUAAAUGGGUCAUGGACUGGUGCAGUUGGACAACUUGUCAGACGGGAAGCUGAUCUGUUUAUCGGACCAAUGUCAGUUACACCUGGACGGGAACGGGUU